rnacentral:tmRNA from 1 species
GGGGGCGACUGGCUUCGACGGGGGUAUUGACGUUCACGAUUGCGUGCCGAGGUUCUAUCUGCUCGUUAAACAGGUGGAAAACACACAAAAGCCAACUCUUACGAGUACGCUGUAGCAGCUUAACGCUGCUGCCGUCCUUCCGCUCCUCUCCCAUGGGGGUGAAAAGGGCGUCAUAUUAGUGGGAUAGUCCGACCGUGAAUUCCGGGGCGUACGGGCGAAACAAUACGGAAUGGAUCGGCCUCUAAGCGUGCCUGGGGGCGUGGGGCCGGUCGAGACCUAAAACUCAGGAUACGCACGUAGUGGUUGUGGGCAGAAGACUUUCGGACGCGGGUUCGAUUCCCGCCGCCUCCACCA